GACCUGAUGCAGCCAUGCCGCGUGUGUGAAGAAGGCCUUCGGGUUGUAAAGCACUUUCAGUUGUGAGGAAAGGUUGGUAGUUAAUACCUGCCAGCUGUGACGUUAACAACAGAAGAAGCACCGGCUAACUCCGUGCCAGCAGCCGCGGUAAUACGGAGGGUGCGAGCGUUAAUCGGAAUUACUGGGCGUAAAGCGGACGCAGGCGGUUUGUUAAGCUAGAUGUGAAAGCCCCGGGCUCAACCUGGGAUGGUCAUUUAGAACUGGCAGACUAGAGUCUUGGAGAGGGGAGUGGAAUUCCAGGUGUAGCGGUGAAAUGCGUAGAUAUCUGGAGGAACAUCAGUGGCGAAGGCGACUCCCUGGCCAAAGACUGACGCUCAUGUCCGAAAGUGUGGGUAGCGAACAGGAUUAGAUACCCUGGUAGUCCACACCGUAAACGCUGUCUACUAGCUGUGUGUGAAUUUAAUUCGUGCGUAGCGAAGCUAACGCGCUAAGUAGACCGCCUGGGGAGUACGGCCGCAAGGUUAAAACUCAA
rnacentral:rRNA from 1 species